GAUUGGUUGGAUGGUGGGCUGGAACUUCACAAGAUGUUAGUGAUCCAUAUGGCCGCAUUAUUCGUAUAAGUGCUGAGCAUGGAAGAUAUGUCGCGAGAAGUUACAGUCCACGCCAGCUUGCUUCGACCGUGGAAGGGGCCCCUCUCUUUGAAAUAUUUCUUACUGUGGAUAAUAAAGGCGAAUACAGGCAACAGGCUGUUUACUUGAAGAGAAAGCCAGUUCAGCAAGAUUUACCUAUUUCUUCUUCAAAGCUGCCCGGUGCUUCCAGUAACUUGGACACUGUUGGUCCCACUGAAAACAAAAGUGAUAUGUUUGAUAAGAUCUCAGAUGCUGAGGAAGAUGGCGAAGACAGGGAAGACGAUUUUGGCUUUCAGAAUGCAUUGAAAGACAUGAUUCCAGGGGUACAGGUCAAGGUUUUGAAAGUGACAGCUCCAGGGAAGGUAGAUAGAGAUCUAAUAUCAAAGGUCAUUGAGCAAAUAAUGGAUGAGGAAGAUGAGGAUGAAGAGAAGGACUAUGAUUUGGACAGUGUGGAUGACGAAGAUGAAAUUAAGGUGGAAAGAGAUGGAGAGCAGAAUGUGAUUGAAUUGGAUACAGACAAUGGGGUUAGUGAUGGUGAAGAGCAGAGCCAAAUUGCAGUUAGGGUGGUUGUUGGUGGUCUCAUGCAAAAUUCCUCAAAUGGUGCUCAUCAUAAAGAUCUGCUUCGAGUACCGGCAAGGCUAGAGAAGAAGGGUCACCUGUCAUUUACUUUCACUAUAGAGGAAGAUGAGAACAAAAGCAAUUUCUCUGGCAGUGGACAAUCUCCCCCAAAUAAAAAGGCUAGGCUUCAAGGUCAACGUAGCUUGGAUCAUGUGAUGGUUGAUCUUGCAAAGUUCAUGGGCAAGGGGAAAAUACCUAUGAAGGUCCUUAAAGAUAUGGGAGAGUUGAUCAGCCUCACUCUUACUCAGGCACGAAAUCGUCAGCCAUUAUCAAAGUCAACCACCUUUAACCGCAUUGAGAUUUCAACAUCUCCAGACCCACUAAAUGGAUUAUAUAUUGGUGCUCAUGGUCUGUACACUUCAGAAGUCAUUCACUUUAGACGAAGAUUUGGUCAGUGGAAAGAAGACGGUAGCCCUAAGGAGUCUUCACGCUUAGAAUUUUACGAGUAUGUUGAAGCGGUAAAAUUAACUGGAGACUCUUAUGUGCCAGCUGGUCAGAUAGCAUUCCGUGCAAGAAUUGGAAAAAAGUAUCAACUUCCACAUAAAGGAAUUAUUCCAGAAGAAUUUGGUGUGAUUGCUCGUUAUAGGGGACAAGGAAGGCUGGCAGAGCCUGGUUUCCGGAACCCCAGAUGGGUUGAUGGUGAACUGGUUAUCCUAGAUGGAAAGUACAUUAAAGGAGGACCCGUUGUGGGUUUUGUCUACUGGGAUCCUGAAUAUCAUUUCUUAGUAUUCUUCCAUCGGCUUAGGCUGCAGGAGUGAACAUCUCUGUAGAUACAAUUUUUGGCUGUUUGUUCCUGGUUCAGUUCUUUGCAGUCAACAUGAUAUCUAGUACCACGAACCUUGAGCUGAAGAGAAGACUCAAGAUUUCGUUUGAAUAUGGAGUCCUUGGCAACUGACUGUUUUAGUGGCCAGCAUAAAACCUUUUGCAUUAUAUGGAACUAACAGCCAUUUUUGAGUUGAUAGCCCCCAAUAUCUCUGGUAUAGCAAAUGGUCGAGGCCUACUAGCAUUUUCUUAGGGCACUGAGCUUGUAUAUAUGCUCUUUAUUUGUUUUUUUUUCAGCUCUUGUAUUAUUCUUUUUUCUCCUUCAGUAAACAUUGUUGUACGUUCAAAAAACUUGGAAUUUAUUCUCUAAUAGAAUCCGAAGAUAGAACG
rnacentral:misc_RNA from 1 species